AACUAGAGUCUUGUAGAGGGGGGUAGAAUUCCAGGUGUAGCGGUGAAAUGCGUAGAGAUCUGGAGGAAUACCGGUGGCGAAGGCGGCCCCCUGGACAAAGACUGACGCUCAUGCACGAAAGCGUGGGGAGCAAACAGGAUUAGAUACCCUGGUAGUCCACGCCGUAAGCGAUGUCUACUCGGAAUUUGGUGCCUU
rnacentral:rRNA from 1 species